ACAGGAAGUGCUGCUUUGUGUAGAGUAGAAAGUUUCUUUAGUGAUGUUACUGCUCUGCAGCUCUAUGAUUAAAAAGUGAUUUUUCAUGCACUGAUGGAUAAAUAUGGAACAUGAUUUGUAUGCUGGGGCGAAAGGACAACGGUGGAUUGGAGGCAGAAAAACAGCCGCUCACCAUUUCUGUUCACUCUGGUGAAAGAUGAGCAACGAGAAGGCAGGGAGGGGGAUGGAGAGAUAAGAAGAGUGAAGGGGAGAGAGACCUGCUUGGUAUUCACCUGUCUCACUGGAUCAAUAAAGGCAUGGAGGAUGCUGUCCGUCACGUGGGGUCACCAGCCUGAGAGGAAUGCUCCAUGUCAGGGGCUGAAGGGGUGUAAGGGGUGUCCCGAGGGAGACAAAACCCACAAAGAAUGAACCCCACCUCUGGCCAAUCACUGCUGCGUGUCCUGCUUAUGCGGUGUGUUUCAUCAAAGUACACAGGUGUGCACUGCACCUGAACAUAUUUUCUCCCUCACUUAUAUUCACGUGCAGGCUCUGUGUUGUGACCUCGUGUUGGAGCCCUUACAUGUUACCAAGCACACUCGUACGCUCAUACGUGCUCUCUUGUGCUUUUUUCUGCACUGCCUCGUAUAAAAAAAGGUAUAAUAUUGACUGCAGACAGUGCAAAAAGGUUUUUAUUGUAUGUUGACUUCAGAAGAACAGAGGUGAAUUGUGUCCUUGGUGCAAGCUAUGGCAGAGCACGUCCCUUUGAGUUUUCAUGCACUUAUUUAUGGAGAAGAAUGGGGCUCCUCAUACCAUUCCCAUGUUUUUGGGGUAAGAAAAGUGUGGUCCUGCAGCCUGGGAACAUUUGUCCACAGGGAUGGACAGUGUGAUCCAAAACAAAAAAGUGAAUGAUCCUGUUAACGUUCAGAUAACUUUUCCAUAUGUAGUAUUUGUAAGUUUUUCCCUAGCUUUGAAUCAGUCUUUAUGUAAACACAAAGUUCAAAUUCACAAUUUCAGUGUCAUUGUAAAUAUCUCCUUAACAUUAUAAA